rnacentral:rRNA from 1 species
AUGGGUGUGGCAGGAUACUACGACAUGAAACCGAUAUGGGACCAGGAGGACAAAGAAGUAGUAGCGGCGGGUGGGGAACCGGCCUUUAGUGAAAUCAGGGGCGAACACACCAGAGAAUACUUGCGGGCACGUGCAAGGAGGCAUGAUGACAUAACUUAUUACUUUGAAAUAUCACGUGACGAAGAACUGUAUCAAGUGAUGUUAAAGCUUUCAAAGAUCCCUGGAAGGUUCUACAGGAACUCAGGUCCAUGUGACAUUCUGUCCGAUGCUCUGGAAACAAGAGAGCCCCCUGGUCGUGCAAGGGUAUAG